rnacentral:rRNA from 1 species
CAAUAGCGUAUAUUAAAGUUGUUGCAGUUAAAAAGCUCGUAGUUGGAUUUCGGGGCAGCCUGGCUGGCCCGCCGCAAGGCGAGUACUGGUCAGCCGCCCUUCCUCUCGAAAGCCCCGACUGCUCUUCGUUGCAGUGGUCGGGUAGUUCGGGACGUUUACUUUGAAAAAAUUAGAGUGUUCAAGGCAGGCCUACGCCUGAAUACAUUAGCAUGGAAUAAUGGAAGAGGACCUCGGUCCUAUUUUGUUGGUUUCCAGGGCCGAAGUAAUGAUUAAGAGGGACAGUUGGGGGCAUUCGUAUUUAAUUGUCAGAGGUGAAAUUCUCGGAUUUAUGAAAGACGAACAACUGCGAAAGCAUUUGCCAAGGAUGUUUUCAUUAA